GAUGAAGAACGCAGCGAAAUGCGAUAAGUAAUGUGAAUUGCAGAAUUCAGUGAAUCAUCGAAUCUUUGAACGCACAUUGCGCCCGCCAGCAUUCUGGCGGGCAUGCCUGUUCGAGCGUCAUUUCAACCCUCAAGCUCUGCUUGGUGUUGGGGCCCUACGGUUGACGUAGGCCCUUAAAGGUAGUGGCGGAUCCUCUCGGAGCCUCCUUUGCGUAGUAACUAACGUCUCGCAUUGGGAUUCGGAGGGACUCUUGCCGUAAAACCCCCAAAUUUUCUAAUGGUUGACCUCGGAUCAGGUAGGAAUACCCGCUGAACUUAAGCAUAUCAAUAAGCGGAGGA
rnacentral:misc_RNA from 1 species